UACGGGAGGCAGCAGUGGGGAAUAUUGCACAAUGGGCGCAAGCCUGAUGCAGCCAUGCCGCGUGUAUGAAGAAGGCCUUCGGGUUGUAAAGUACUUUCAGUCGUGAGGAAGGUGUUAAGGUUAAUAACCUUAGCAAUUGACGUUAGCGACAGAAGAAGCACCGGCUAACUCCGUGCCAGCAGCCGCGGUAAUACGGAGGGUGCGAGCGUUAAUCGGAAUUACUGGGCGUAAAGGGCACGCAGGCGGUUAAUUAAGUUGGAUGUGAAAUCCCCGGGCUUAACCUGGGAAUGGCAUUCAAGACUGGUUAGCUAGAGUCUUGUAGAGGGGGUAGAAUUCCAUGUGUAGCGGUGAAAUGCGUAGAGAUGUGGAGGAAUACCGGUGGCGAAGGCGGCCCCUGGGACAAAGACUGACGCUCAUGUGCGAAAGCGUGGGGAGCAAACAGAUUAGAUACC
rnacentral:rRNA from 1 species